UACGAAGGGGGCUAGCGUUGCUCGGAAUCACUGGGCGUAAAGGGUGCGUAGGCGGGUCUUUAAGUCAGGAGUGAAAUCCUGGAGCUCAACUCCAGAACUGCCUUUGAUACCGAAGAUCUUGAGUUCGGGAGAGGUGAGUGGAACUGCGAGUGUAGAGGUGAAAUUCGUAGAUAUUCGCAAGAACACCAGUGGCGAAGGCGGACUCGCUGGCCCGAUACUGACGCUGAGGCA
rnacentral:rRNA from 1 species